rnacentral:lncRNA from 1 species
UAUAUUCAAGCAUACAGAUCUAAGGGACAUGAUGAAUCUCACACAACUAAUAAAGGAGUGACUAGCAACAUAAUGGUGAGUUUAGAAGACCACGGCACACAAAAGAUAUCAACACACAAGUGGUUGUCUUCUAGAAACUAUUAGAAAAGAGGACCCUGCAAUCAAGUCGAUACAAUUAGUCUAUUGGAGCACCAACACACAAAGGAAGCUAGAUGAGGGUAGAAGAUAACUUCGACUCACAGAGAUAGAACUACAAGCCAAGAAAGCUAG